rnacentral:rRNA from 1 species
CUGGUUGAUCCUGCCGGAGGCCACUGCUAUGGGGGUCCGACUAAGCCAUGCGAGUCAUGGGGCGCGCUCUGCGCGCACCGGCGGACGGCUCAGUAACACGUCGGUAACCUACCCUCGGGAGGGGGAUAACCCCGGGAAACUGGGGCUAAUCCCCCAUAGGCCUGGGGUACUGGAAGGUCCUCAGGCCGAAAGGGGCAUCUGCCCGCCCGAGGAUGGGCCGGCGGCCGAUUAGGUAGUUGGUGGGGUAACGGCCCACCAAGCCGAAGAUCGGUACGGGCCAUGAGAGUGGGAGCCCGGAGAUGGACACUGAGACACGGGUCCAGGCCCUACGGGGCGCAGCAGGCGCGAAACCUCCGCAAUGCGGGCAACCGCGACGGGGGGACCCCCAGUGCCGUGGCAUAGCCACGGCUUUUCCGGAGUGUAAAAAGCUCCGGGAAUAAGGGCUGGGCAAGGCCGGUGGCAGCCGCCGCGGUAAUACCGGCGGCCCGAGUGGUGGCCGCUAUUAUUGGGCCUAAAGCGUCCGUAGCCGGGCCCGUAAGUCCCUGGCGAAAUCCCACGGCUCAACCGUGGGGCUUGCUGGGGAUACUGCGGGCCUUGGGACCGGGAGAGGCCGGGGGUACCCCUGGGGUAGGGGUGAAAUCCUAUAAUCCCAGGGGGACCGCCAGUGGCGAAGGCGCCCGGCUGGAACGGGUCCGACGGUGAGGGACGAAGGCCAGGGGAGCGAACCGGAUUAGAUACCCGGGUAGUCCUGGCUGUAAAGGAUGCGGGCUAGGUGUCGGGCGAGCUUCGAGCUCGCCCGGUGCCGAAGGGAAGCCGUUAAGCCCGCCGCCUGGGGAGUACGGCCGCAAGGCUGAAACUUAAAGGAAUUGGCGGGGGAGCACUACAAGGGGUGGAGCGUGCGGUUUAAUUGGAUUCAACGCCGGGAACCUCACCGGGGGCGACGGCAGGAUGAAGGCCAGGCUGAAGGUCUUGCCGGACACGCCGAGAGGAGGUGCAUGGCCGCCGUCAGCUCGUACCGUGAGGCGUCCACUUAAGUGUGGUAACGAGCGAGACCCGCGCCCCCAGUUGCCAGUCCUCCCCGCUGGGGAGGAGGCACUCUGGGGGGACCGCCGGCGAUAAGCCGGAGGAAGGAGCGGGCGACGGUAGGUCAGUAUGCCCCGAAACCCCCGGGCUACACGCGCGCUACAAUGGGCGGGACAAUGGGAUCCGACCCCGAAAGGGGAAGGGAAUCCCCUAAACCCGCCCCCAGUUCGGAUCGCGGGCUGCAACUCGCCCGCGUGAAGCUGGAAUCCCUAGUACCCGCGUGUCAUCAUCGCGCGGCGAAUACGUCCCUGCUCCUUGCACACACCGCCCGUC